AUUUUAUCUUUGCAUGGUUAUCAUUGGUGAAAUCAAUGACCAAAAGUUUUUCCAUUUUGCAGGAGUCAUACAGUAACAUCAACAUUAGCAAUAACUUUUAUUCCGAAGACAGAUAAGAGGAAGACAAAGAUGGGGUUUUACCCAAAACUUCACUUACUCAAGAGGCUGAAAUCAACAUGAAGUCAGACGUGCUGGACAUUCUUUAAACCACUUGUGUCCACUGGAAUUGUCUUCUCCACAGUGUUAGCUAAAGCUGUAACUUGCCUGGAAGCCAUCUCUUGUCAAGGCAUGAGUCUGUGUUUUAAACAUGAACUGGCAUGCCUCAGAGGUCAUCACACUUCCUUCAGCUGCCCUGUCUCAAGGCUAUCUUCCCCAAAGGCAUCCAGUCAUCGUGCAGAAACGGAGACCAAGAGCAGAGUUUGCUGCAGUCAUUAAUCACUUCUGUUGCUUUGGGGUAUGGCUGAAAUAUGUCAAAAAGAAACAUGGGAAGCAAGUACCAACCUCCCACCAGUUGCAGAAAAGUGAGAGCUGGACUUCAGCAUAGUUGAAUGGAAAGUGAAGUAAAUGGGCAAAAUCUCCCACACUAUAUCUAAUCCAAUUUUCUCAGAGAUGAGCUCAGAACAAAAUGGUGUUGUGGGGAAAUAUAGGUUGGUGUUGUUGAUAAAAACAUCAGUUUAACACUUAGAAAUACUCCUGUACCCACCCAGGAGAAAAGAUAAAGGCUUAAACCUUGCCCAUCCUUGUGACACUACAUAAAACCACAGUUUUGAAUCAUUCUGGCUCCCUUUCCUGUCCCAAAGUGGAUAUGUGGUGAUAAGAAUGGGAAUAGAAGAGGCCAAAGAGGAGACAUAGCAAAGCUGCAAAGUCGAGGAAUCAUAGAAUCAUUAAGGCUGGAAAAGACCUCUAAAAUCAUCAGGUCCAGCCCCAACCCACCCUCACCAUGUCCACUGACCACGUCCCUCAGUGCCACAUCUCCAUGGUUCUUGAGCACCUCCAGGGAUGGUGACUUCACCACUUCUCUGGGUGAUGUUCAAAUGGGACUUUCAAAAUUAGUUGAGACUUCUACUGUGCAUUCAUUGUCACGAGACACAGAGUGUUUGGAUUCUCUGUCUGGAAAGAAGUUGGAAAUGAACAAUUUCAAAUGUCUUCCCACAGAGAAACCUGGAUCCACUGGGCUCCUUGGGUGCAUUCAGGCCACGUGAAUAACUGAA
ensembl:lncRNA